GAUGGAUCAGGGCAGGCUGGGAUCAUGGAAUCAAUCAUGGAAUCAUGGAAUCAUGGAAUCAUGGAAUCAUGGAAUCAUGGAAUCAUGGAAUGGUUUGGGUUGGAAGGGACCAGAAAGAUCCAAACCCCUGCCAGGGUUUGGGCAGGGACACCUUCCCCUAUCCCAGGCUGCUCCAAGCGCUGUCCAGCCCUGCCCCGGACACUUCCAGGGAUGUGACCCCAUGGCUGCUUCACUCCCACGGUGUCACAUCCCUCCUUUAAUGCACUUCCUGGGCUGUGGGGAGGGGGUCCCGCUGUCCCCACGGUGUCCCCACAGUGUCCCCACAGUGUCCCCGCACUGUCUGGGGCUGCUGCUGUCUCUGCGGAGCUCCGAGGACCCCGUUCAGAGCUCUGAGGUCACUGUUCGGAGCUCCGAGAACACCGUUCAGAGGCCUGAGGUCGCCGUUUGGAGCUCCGAGAACCCCGUUUGGAGCUCCUAGGAUGCCAUUCGGAGCUCUGAGGACGCCGUUCAAAGCUCUGAGGUCACCUUUUGGAGCUCCGAGGACGCCGUUUGGAGCCCUGAGAACACCGUUCGGAGCUCCAGGGAUGCCGUUCGGAGCUACGAGGUCGCUAUUUGGAGCUCCAAGGACACCGUUCAGAGCCCAGAGAACACCAUUCGGAGUUCCGAGGUCACUGUUCGGAGCUCCGAGGACCCCGUUCAGAGCUCUGAGAACGCCGUUUGGAGCUCUGAAGUCACCAUUCAGAGCUCCGAGGUCGCCGUUCAGAGCUCCGAGGUCGCCGUUUGGAGCUCCGAGGUCGCCGUUCGGUGCUCCGAGGUCGCCGUUUGGAGCUUCGAGGUCGCCGUUCGGAGCUCCGAGGACCCCGUGCGGCCGCCGCGGACACGGCGGGGACAGAGGGAGCCACGGCCGGGAUCCGGCUCCUUCUCCCUGUUAUUCCAGAAAUCCUGGGGAGCCGGGCCGAGCUCUCAUUCCUGGGAAUGAACCCGCUGCAGGAUUGAUGGAAGAGGUGACAGCGACUGGGGAAGGACGGAAUCAGAGCCAGGAGCGUCCCGAGCUUUCAGGGAGGGGCCAAGGAGCAGCUCUGAGCCCCCGUGGAGGGAAAAGCAGCUCCAGAUCUCUGCCUCUGGAUGAAUCCCAAGCUCCCAACACCCAACAGGAUCCCUGGGACAUCCCUGGAGCUGCCGAGUGCCGGCUCCCCCUGGCUCGGGGGGGAUUUUCCAUCCGUGCAGAGGGCUCCCAAUGGCGCUGAUGUUUUUCCCUUCUCCCUGAUGGAUGGGGAGGAUCAGAGCAAUCACGGCUGGGAUUUUUCCGAUGGAAAAUGGGAUUCACAUCUGCCUGAGCACCGCCGGCAGCAGGUGAGGAACGCUGGAGCUGCAGGGCCCCAAACGAGGGGCGACCAUUAAACUUUUUGUUGUCUCUGGCAUUUUAAUGACUCCAGGAGCUCUUCCUUUCCCUGUGGGAGGUCUCCCUGCUGCAAGAAAAUCCCUUUGCUGAUGUUUAUUCCUUCCCCAAUCCACAAACAGAGCCCGUGGCCACCGAGGCAGAGCCGCGGCUUUUUCCCGGGAUGUGGAUUUUCAGCGUGGGGAUAACGCUGUGGAAUUUAUUUUAACGUAAUAAAUUGAUUAACACAAAUUUCGGAGCCA
ensembl:lncRNA